rnacentral:ncRNA from 1 species
UACAUUUGCGCCGAUUUUGGUUUUCUAACAGAUAAUCUAUCUAUUAGAAAUUAAAAGGGAAUUUGGUGAAAAUCCAAAACUGUUCCCGCAACUGUAAGCUAUAAAGCUUGUAACUAAAACUUUAACCACUGUUUUUAACGGGAAGGUAAGUUACAAGACGCAAGUCAGGAGACCUGCCACAAUCGAAAUAAGUAA